rnacentral:lncRNA from 1 species
UUUUGUUCCCACUAUUUCUACUUUAAGUAUAAUCUGUAUGUGGUUUAGGGGUGUCUCUGCAGGCAGGAUCACAGAGGCCACUCAAUGUUCAUGGCAAGCAUUGGGGCUCAGGAAAGCUGAGGCAGGAAUUCUGAAAGCUAAAGGCCAGGGUGGGAAAGUUUGAAGCCAGUUUAGGACACAUAGCAAAACCCUGUCACAAAUCAAAAAGUAAAAAGGACAGAAGAGAAUGAAAGUGAACACAAACAAAAGGAUCCUGAGCAUGGUGGCCUGUGGGCUUAAGGCCAGCAUGCAAGAGGUAGGGGUUGGAAGAUGUCUGUGAGUUAAAGGCUAGCCUGAUCUACACAGAGAUUUUUCAGGCUGGCUAGGACUAUACUGUAAGACCCUGACC